AAAAAAAUUUGAGCACCGGCCGCCACUGCUUGUUAGUUGCCCAUUUACAUUGGUACUUUAAUGGCAUUUAUGAUAAAAGCAAUGAGGGGUUCUAAUGGCACAAUUUAUAGUAAGCCAUGCCCAGUCACAGAGCAGGCUAAAUAAAGCGUGGUUUGCACCGAGUCUUUUAUAGACGCGAUCUCAACAAAUUAUCAAGUGAACAAGACAAAAAAACGUCUUUGUUGUGUCCUUUGGACCAAUUUUGAUGCAGAACUAAAUAAUCUUAAAGCUCAUGUUCAGAUAUUUGAAGAACAUAAAAGUCAAAGGUGAAUAAUUCAAGGCUGCUUAGAACAAUCGUCCAACAAUUUGAAUCCUCCAGUUAGGACAGCAUGAAAUGUCAUUGCACCAGCAUUUAUUGACACCAUCUAUCGGGGUGCCACCUGUGCUGAUGUGGACCCUCUAGUCUAGCUACACUGUACGGGAUACCCAAUGAGAGAUGGUAGGCUUGCCUAAGUGAAGGCUGAUAGUUGGUUUAUGGUAGGGUAGAGCACCAUGAAAAUGGUUAGACCUGGAUCUGCAGAGUAGGAUCCACACUGGAACCACCUGGAAAAAGGAGAUCCUGAAAUUUGGACUAUUAUUAUUCUGGAAUUGAUAAGACUGAGGAGCUGAAUAAAGUGGUAUAUGAAGUAGGAGAUGGUCUCAAGUUAGAGCAGGUAACGCAGGAUCCCCCAGAUUUUGGAGUCUAAAAGCCAGCCGGCAUUCCCAAAAGGCCCUCACAUAGGGGUUUGGGCUUCACUGCCUGCUGACCCUAGCUUGCACCCCCUGAGUUCACCCUACUCUAAAUACCACAGACCAUGAGUUGGAGGUCAACAGAGAAGGUCUAGAGGUCAUGGCAGGCUGAGGAUAUGGAUGGUCAGGAACAAGCCAGAGGUCAGAGCAGGCAGCAGACAUGGAUAACCAGGAACAAGCCAGAGGUCAGAGCAGGCAGCAGACAUGGAUAACCAGGAACAAGCCAGAGGUCAGAGCAGGCAGCAGACAUGGUAAACCAGGAACAAGCCAGAGGUCAGAGCAGGCAGCAGACAUGGAUAACCAGGAACAAGCCAGAGGUCAGAGCAGGUAGCAGACAUGGAUAACCAGGAACAAACCAGAGGUCAGAACAGGCAUCAGACAUGGAUAAAUUGGAACAAGCCAGAGGUCAGAGCGGGCAGCAGACAUGGAUAACCAGGAACAAGCCAGAGGUCAGAGCAGGCAGCAGACAUGGAUAACCAGGAACAAGCCAGAGGUCAGAGCAGGCAGCAGACAUGGAUAACCAGGAACAAGCCAGAGGUCAGAGCAGGCAGCAGACAUGGAUAACCAGGAACAAGCCAGAGGUCAGAGCAGGCAGCAGACAUGGAUAACCAGGAACAAGCCAGAGGUCAAGUGGGCAGCAGAAAUGUAUAACCGGAAAGGAGGGGCCGAGAACAUGGACUACUAGGAACAAGCCAGAAGUCUGUACAAAGAAAUCAAAGGAAGAUGCAGGAGAUGGCCAGGAACGAGCCAGAAGUCUGUACACAGGAAUCAAUGAAGGAUACAGGCUGAAUAGCAGGGACCUGUACAGGGCUUGGCAGCUAUCUUGCAAAAUCAUUGCUCAGACGGCAAGCUGCACAAGUUUUAAUGAUUGUAGUAAGGUUUAUAUAAAUGAUAUAAAGGUAAAAUAUCAGAAAAAUAAAAAAGUAGUAUAGAAAAAAUAAAGAAGCGC